GUAUAUGAAAUAAAUAUUAUUUUAAGGAUCUAAAGUUAAUAUUUAAAAGUGAUAAAAAGGUGAGAGCCAAUCAUAUCAUGAAAAUGAGUAAAGAGAAAUCAAGUGGAAUGAAACAUCUGAGUAACUUGAAAGUAACCAACAGGGGCAAUAUAAGUAACGGUGAGUGAAAAUAUUGUAGUCUAAAAGUAUCACCAAGAGGUGAGAAUAAAGUAGUAUCAACUACUAAGACAAGGAAUAAAUAUUAAACUAAAAGUACCGUAAGGGAAAAGGAGUAAAUAGAAUAAUAGAGAGCAGUUAUAGUAUAACGUACCUCUUGUAUAAUGGGCCAGUGAGUUAUAUAUAUUAGUGAAGUAAUUUAUAAAUAAAUUGAGUUUAAUCAAUCUAUAAUUAAUGUAUAUAGGCCCGAAAGCAAACGAUCUACACAUGUCCAAGUGUAUUUAUGAUAUAAAAAUAUCAUUUAUAUGGCUGAAUAGGUGGAUGUAGCAAUAUUCUCUAAAGAGAUGUGUGUAGUUGUGACAGACAAAUCUGGUUUGCCGAUAGCUGGUUUUCUGCGAAAUAUAUUUUAGUAUAGCCUUUAUUAAAUCAUAAACUGGUACAGCACUUAAAUAACUUUGGGGGGUUAGAAUAUAACUUUAUCAAAAUAUUUAAAACUCGGAAUCAGUAUAUCGUAUAAUAAAGAGUCAGACUUAUUGCGAUAAGGUAGUAGGUCGAAAAGGAAACAACCUAGACUAUUUAAUGUAUGUCCCUUAUAUAUAUUAAGUGAACUAAAUCUAUAUCAUAAAUGAUAGACAAUCAGUCAGCGGGUUUGACAAUAAUCAUCUGUUAAUGGACAUGUAACAAUGCACUGAUAUGAUAUAUAUCUUUUUAGAUAUUUCUUAUAUAUAGAGAAAAUAUACGGGUCUAAAUAUAUAACAGAAUAAUAGAUAUAUAUAUAUUAAAUAUAUAUAUAUGGUAGCAGAAUAUAUAAUGAAAAAUUAUAAAGAGAUUGCUGGCUUGAGUAACGAUAGGUAAUAUAAGAUUACCCUCCUAAUUCAUAAGGUUUUACUAUAAAUGAACGGUCCCUAAGAGAAGUAUAGAAAUAUAUAAUUGAUGGGUGAUAGAACAAGAAAAGAAGGAAGAACCGUACUGUAGACCGACACAGGUAUGAUAAAGGAGAAUGAGAUAACUACUAUGAAUGAACUCGGCAAAUUAGCACAAAGCUUUUAGUCGUGCGACUGUUUACCAAAAACACAGCUUACUGCAUACUAGUAAUAGUAAGUAUAGUAAGUGAUAUCUGCCCGGUGUAUGCUUAAUAAAUAAUUUUGCUAUAUGGUUAAAUUAUAAAAGGCAUGUUAACGGCGGUCUUAUUGUGAGGAUCCGAAGGUAGCGAAAUUCAUUGACGCAUAAUUGGUGUCCUGCAUGAAUGAUUACACGAUGCGACAACUGUAUCCAUAGUAGACUCAGUGAAAUAGCACUCGCGGUGAAGAUGCCGUGUACCCGUAGGUUGACAAAAAGACCCUAUGCAGCUUUACUAUAUCUUUUUUUUGAUUUAAAUAUUAUUUAUUUCAGUAGAUUAGGUUAAAUUUAUGUACUUUAUAUUUCUUUUUUAAAGAUUUAUAUUGAGUUUUAAAUAAAAUGAGAUACCUAUAUAUAUAAUUCUAGAAUCUAAUUUAUACUUAUAUUUACAUCGUAAAUAUAUCCUGAAGACAGAGAAAAGAAGUUAGUUUCGAUGGGGCGUCGACAUCAGCGAAAGCAUCUGAUGUGUCUAAUAAUAAAUAUAUUUAUAUUUUUAUAUAUUUUUAUAUCAUUAUUAUAUUAAAUUUAUUAUAUAAUAGUAAAUUACGUACAAUAGAACUAUAUGGUAAAUAGAGAAGAAUACCCCUUUUAGGGGUAUUAAAUUAUAUGCAAGGAUAAUAACAUAAUUGUGCGAUGAUAAUAACACUAACAAGUGGAAUUAGUACAUACGUAGAGUAUAGUGAACAGGCAUAAUCAAUUGAUAUGGAUGUCGAUAACGGAUUAAAGUUACGCUAGGGAUAACAGGGUAAUACCGCGUGAGAGUUGAUAUCGUCAGCGGUGUUUGCCACCUCGAUGUCGUCUAGACUCGUCCUCCUGGUCGCAGCAACUAGGUAGGGUAGGACUGUUCGUCCUCUAAGGAGUUACUUGAGAUGGGUUAAUUACGACGUGAGUCAGUAAUGAUUUUAUCAUCUAUGGGAAUUUCUUAUCUGUUGCCUCAAGUGUACGAAAGGAUAGUGAGGUGCUUUCCAAUGGUUUUUUGUAUUAUUUAUAUAGUACAUUUUAGCUAAGAAGGUUGCGGAUAAAUAUUGAAAGCAUCUCAAAUAUUAAGCCCUUCAGAUAAGAUUAAACAUAUUAGACUAAUAUGUAAUAGUAAUUGUAUAUUU
rnacentral:rRNA from 1 species